CCUACGGGGGGCUGCAGUGAGGAAUAUUGGUCAAUGGGCGCGAGCCUGAACCAGCCAAGUCGCGUGAGGGAGGACGGCCCUACGGGUUGUAAACCUCUUUUGCCGGGGAGCAACGGGCGUCACGUGUGGCGUCACUGCGAGUACCCGGAGAAAAAGCAUCGGCUAACUCCGUGCCAGCAGCCGCGGUAAUACGGAGGAUGCGAGCGUUAUCCGGAUUUAUUGGGUUUAAAGGGUGCGUAGGUGGAUCGUUAAGUCAGUGGUCAAAUUGAGGGGCUCAACCCCUUCCCGCCAUUGAAACUGGCGAGCUUGAGUGGAAGAGAAGUAUGCGGAAUGCGUGGUGUAGCGGUGAAAUGCAUAGAUAUCACGCAGAACCCCGAUUGCGAAGGCAGCAUGCCGGCUUCCGACUGACGCUGAAGCACGAAAGCGUGGGGAUCGAACAGGAUUAGAUACCCCGGUAGUC
rnacentral:rRNA from 1 species